AAUGAACGCUGGCGGCGUGCCUAACACAUGCAAGUCGGAUGUGCCGCAAGGUGCAUGGCAGACGGGUGAGUAACGCGUGGGGAACCUACCUCUUCGUGGGGAAUAACGAUCCGAAAGGAUUGGUAAUACCGCAUGAGACCGACGGCUGGGAUGCUGUCGGUGAAAGCUGGGGACCGGAAACGGCCUGGCGCGAGGAGAGGGUCCUGCGUCUGAUUAGCUAGUUGGUGGGUAACGGCCUACCAAGGCAUCGAUCAGUAGCCGGCCUGAGAGGGUGAUCGGCCACACUGGAACUGAGACACGGUCCAGACUCCUACGGGAGGCAGCAGUGGGGAAUUUUGCGCAAUGGACGAAAGUCUGACGCAGCAACGCCGCGUGGGUGAUGAAGGGUCUUCGGAUUG
rnacentral:rRNA from 1 species